rnacentral:lncRNA from 1 species
CUGCAACAACAACAGAGAUUUGCUCCGCUUCCUGGAGCAAGAGAGGCGAAGGAGGCAGGUGGCUCCAGAGGAGAAAGAUCCAUUCCUGGGGAAGACUCCUCUCUUUGCCAGACCCUACAAGGUAAUGGGAGUGGGCUGAAGGUUGUAUGGAGAGGAGGAAGGAGGCUUGGCCUGGGAGAGGAGAGCCAUGUCUUCUGCAUGGGCCGUAGCAGACUUGAGCCCAAUCCCUGCAGACACAGCACAUCUUUCCAUCUGCUUCAUUGAGCUUGCCUGACUUCCUUUGUGGGGAUGCAUGGUGAUUCCAUGAAGAUACUGAGCAAGGUCUCUUGCUUGGGGUGUUUGUGACAUUUGCCCCUCUGUUAUUCUGUUGCAGACCUAUAAAGAAGAUGAGCUGUCAAGGCGCAUUAAGAACCUGCUGGGCGAUCAGGACUCCAAGGUGCUCCUGAGCCACGAGUCCCCUCUGAAUCCCAUCUGGAUUCCAAACAAGCCCAAAGCCCAGUCACAAAGCCACAGUCAUAGGCCGGCCUCCAGGAAGACAAACCCCUAUGAAGACAGAUGGAGGGAAUGCUCAACACAAUCACUGGAGCACACACCAAAUCCUGAGAGGAACUAUGACAGCCAUGACAGUCUCUCAGAUCGAGGGUCAGAAGGCAAAGCUCCACAGUGCAAAAUCCUGCCUGAGCCUGUCAAGAAAGAGCAGCCCACUGAUGUGCCAUCUACUGAAAAAACUUUGAAGCCCAUCGUGCACAUUUAUGUACAGUCCAUUGAAGGAAUAUUGAAGGAAAUGAGCAGCUGCCUGCCACCUCUCCUGCCACCUCUGCAGUCACCUGCUAGAACAGAGACUUGCAAAUUUCCAUUGCAGGCAGAGGAAAAGAAGCCCAUUGAUGUGCCAUCAAUUGAAGAAAUUUUGAGAGAAAUGAGCAGCUCACUGCCACCUCUCCUGUCACCUCUUCAGACGCCUACAAGAGCAGAGACGUGCAGACUUCCAUUGGCAGGAAAGGAAUCCCAACCUGAUGGAUCUGCAGCACAGAAACAGAAUAAAGAGAAAUGCAAAGGAAACCCAGUUCUUUCUGUGCUGACAGAGCAGGCAGGCAGAGCGUCAGGAAGGUUGCCGAGUUCUCAGCCAAGAACAUCGUAAGUAAACAGACCGUGUUUCCACCUCUGCCGGGCAGAUACUUGAAAGAACCUGGAAUGAACAAACAUUUGGGCUAUCAGUCAGAUUUUUCUCAGAAAACCUCAAUGCAGGGAAUUUUCCCCAACUGAAGAAUUAUUAUUUCAUGAUCUACUCAUGAAAUUGUUGAGGUUGGAAAAGAUCUUGAAGAGCUUAAGCAAACAGAUUAACGUGACACCAUUAUUCCCAGUGGCCACCGGCCUUGGGAUUUGCACAAGGAGAAGGUGCCCUUGUCUCCUGGAGAGAAGUUGCUCUCACCUUCAAGGAAGCCAGACUUGAAGAGGAGAGCCAUGAGGAGUUCAGAGGAGUCCCCUGGAGAGAGGAAGGUGAGAGGGGCAGGGGGACGUGGGUUUGGACAAUGACCAAGGUGGUGUUUGAAAAACCCAAGUGGAGUUUCCACUUCAUACGUUGGCACUAGAGCCAUGAUUGAUCUCCUGUAAGGGUGUUAUCAAACCUGUAAGGGGAAUGUUCCCACAGCUGAUUCCCAUUGGUCACCAAUACCCUUCUGAGAAAACGGAAAGCCUUGUAAGCUGUUGUUUUGUGUGUUUUGGUGCUUUUAGUGUUUUCUUGGGAUCCUGGUUUCCUGAGAAAACAAAACCUCAGCUGUCCUCCGCCAGAGGAGGUUUUGGCAGCUUGUGGCUGCCCAGCCCCUGCCAGCACUGCUGGGUUUCUCUGGGUUUCAGCCCAAGCUGAGCUUUGUAGCUUGGUGGUGGCCCAUUCUUGUGUUCCUGCAUCAAAAGCAGUAGGUAUCUGAAGCACUUGGCAGAUGGAUAAAUAGUCAAAGCGCUUGUUUGGAUUUCCCUGGAGCUGCUGUGAUGCCAGCAGUGAUGCCUAAGAAGUGGCUGUGUGUUGGAGUCCCAGGCACAGAAAAUGUCCUUUUGAUCUGUGCUGACCGGCUCCGGCACUUGAGAGAACACAGGGUUGGAGUUAAGACCAUGGAGAAGGCUUCUAAAACUGAGUGGAGGAGCUGGGAAUGUCGAUGUGUGAAUUAGAUAGCAUUAUGUUAAUUCACUGGGUGAAAAAGACAGUUUAGAGUUUGAGAUGUAGUAGUGAAUAAGAGACAAGGUAUAGGUUCUUGGGUGUUGGUUUGUCUUUGCCUUUCUUCUUUCUUCUCCAUGGUUUUGGCUGGUAUGGGGUGAUUGGAUGGAAAGGUAUGCAGUGCAGAACAUGGGUGUUUGGUUAUUGGGUUAAAAGUAUAAGUAAAUGGGUUGGCAUUUGAUAACUGGAUGGUUUAUGCUUAAAAGGCCUUGUGGACAGAGCCCACAUUCUCCGUUUGUAGCUUGUUAGGUUAGUGUGUGGAAGUACUUACUAUCUGUAAAAAUGUAAAGUAGAUAAGGUAAAACAAACAUCCUAAGUCUGAAGACAAAAGCCGUCUCUCUGCUCAUCAGUCCUCAUCCUGGGGAAAAGAUCUGAACCCUUUGACAUUUGGUGCCCCGGAGACUUUUACAGCUGUGUGUAGUCAGGGGCUUUGCAGAGACCCCUUUGCAGAGUCCCUCGGCCAUUGCAGUGGCUUUCCCUGGAAUUCCAAGACAGCCCUUCAUUUCAAACUCGGAGGUGGUCGUUGCUCUCAAGUGUUUUUUGGGAAGCUGACUCCCAGAGUCAGUGCUGACUCCCAGACAGCACUGGGAGGUCAGGUGCACAAGGAGUUGGCUGCAGGCCUUGCAGUGAUGGGCACUCCCUGUGGACAUUGCAGGGCCUGUCUCCCUUUCUGUUCCUCCUCCCAGAACAGGUGGCUCAGCAGGGCCGGGGGAAUAACUUUGCUUCCUGUGUGGGUUUUUUAACUUUGUCAUUUUCUGAGCUUCCUGAGUUAAGAAUAAAGAAGAGUAGGGAAAUGGUGAGGAAACUGGA